UGCAUUCACUACUGUAAGUCUUCUCUGGAUAAGAGCGUCUGCUAAAUGACUAAAA
rfam:Salmo salar isolate Sally breed double haploid chromosome ssa09, whole genome shotgun sequence.